CCCUGCCCUUUGUACACACCGCCCGUCGCUACUACCGAUUGAAUGGCUCAGUGAGGCGUCCGGACUGGCCCAGAGAGGUGGGCAACUACCCCUCAGGGCCGGAAAGCUCUCCAAACUCGGUCAUUUAGAGGAAGUAAAAGUCGUAACAAGG
rnacentral:rRNA from 1 species